GCCCGCUUUUCCCGUCGCUCCGCCCAGCCCCGGGGCCGCCUCUCCCGGGCCUGCGCCCCGCCGGCGGCAGCGACGUGGUGCUGUGCGGUGGCGGAGGCGGUGGCCGAGGCUCAGCCAUGUGGGUGGCGGCGCUGGCGGCGCUGCUGGCGGCGGCGGGGGCGCAGUACGAGCGCUACAGCUUCCGCAGCUUCCCGCGGGACGAGCUGAUGCCGCUGGAGUCGGCCUAUCGCUACGGGCUGGACCAGUACAGCACCGAGAACUGGCCCGAGAGCGUCAGCUACCUGGAGGUCAGCAUGCGGCUGUACCGCCUGCUGCGGGACAGCGAGGCGUUCUGCCACCGCAACUGCAGCGCGGCCGGGCAGCCGCCGCCCGCGCCCCCCGCGCCCGCCGCGCUGGAGGAGCUGCGCCUCCUGUCCGGGGUGCUGCGGCGGGCGCAGUGCCUGCGGCGCUGCAAGCAGGGGCUGCCCGCCUUCCGGCAGGCGCAGCCCGGCCGCGACCUGCUCGAGGAGUUCCAGCGCCGCGAGCCCUACAAGUACCUGCAGUUCGCCUACUUCAAGGCUAAUAAUCUUCCAAAAGCUAUUGCAGCAGCUCACACGUUUCUUCUGAAGCAUCCAGAUGAUGAAAUGAUGAAAAGAAAUAUGGCCUACUAUAAGAGCAUACCUGAUGCUGAGGAGCAUAUUAAAGACUUGGAGACAAAGCCUUAUGAGAAUCUCUUUGUCAGGGCUGUGCGAGCGUACAAUGGCGACAAUUGGCGGACAUCCAUCUCGGACAUGGAACUGGCUCUUCCUGAUUUCUUCAAAGCCUACGAUGACUGCAUAGCAGCCUGCGAAGGCUCCCGAGAGAUCACAGAUUUUAAAGACUUCUAUCUCUCCAUUGCAGAUCAUUAUAUUGAAGCCCUUGCAUGCAAAGUGCAGUGUGAGAGCAAUCUGACACCCAUUAUAGGAGGCUUUGUCGUUGAAAAAUUUGUGGCCACCAUGUACCAUUACUUGCAGUUUGCAUAUUAUAAAUUGAAUGACAUGAAGAAUGCAGCUUCCUGUGCUGCUAGUUACCUUCUGUUUGACGAGAAAGAUGAAGUAAUGAAACAGAACAUGGUCUAUUACCAGUACCACAAAGACAAAUGGGGACUUGAAGAGGAGGAUUUUCAGCCCAGAUCGGAGGCCGUUCGGUACCACAACAUUACCACACUCCAGCUGGAAAUGUAUGAAUUCGCAAAGGAACAUCUGAUGGAUGAUGAUGAGUUUUCCACAGGGAGGCUAAAAGAACAUGACAGUGUUGUCAUCUUAGUUGGCCAUGGAUAGACUGGCUUCUCGAUUUCUGUUCAGAUGUGUAAUGCAUCAAGGCUAUCACGGAUACAGCUCCUGGUACUGCACAGAUGGUGAAGUUGUGGAAUUCCUUGAUGAGCUGUUAGAAGUGGAGGAAGAGAAGGAAUCCUGAUGAGUGAAACCACCACAAAGUACUUUUACAGAAGACUCACCAUUGCUCCUUACUAUUGUUUUUGAUCACCUGUAGUUCCAGUUAGAUAUACCUCAAAGGUGCUUCUUUAAGCUGCACCUUUUGUCCCAAGAUCCACUCCUGAAAGGUCACUUCCGUGCUGCACUGACUCUUCUGUGAGCAUGGCUUUUCACUGUGCAGAACUGGUGCACAUGAGUUUCCCCCUUGAGCUUUCUUUCCCUCACACAAACACAACAAAACAGACUAUUUCUGUUUUCUGGGAUAACACUAAGGUUCCUCAUUUCAGUGCUGUUCUACUAAGUUGUAGCAGUAUGGCUAUAUUCUCAAGAACUUUUGUCAGAUUAUGAACUCUGGAAGACAUUACAGUUCCUCUUUCUGAGCUAUGAAUUGUAUUAUUUAUAUAUGUCUUUUUAUGUGAUAGUGAAUAAAGUGAUAAUGAAUCCCAGGGCACCUGAAAGAUAUUAGGGUACAUUUAAGUAGCUGAAAUAAGGUGAUUAACAAAGUAAAACUGAUGAUCUUGUAAACAUUGCUUAAAGAAUUCUGAAAGCAGUGUUGAUCUUCCUUGAAAGCUAAAUUAAAUUCCACUAUGUGAAACUGAAUAAAAAUUAUUUUUUCUUCCUA